GAUGAACGCUGGCGGCGUGCCUAAUACAUGCAAGUCGAGCGAACGGACGAGAAGCUUGCUUCUCUGAUGUUAGCGGCGGACGGGUGAGUAACACGUGGAUAACCUACCUAUAAGACUGGGAUAACUUCGGGAGACCGGAGCUAAUACCGGAUAAUAUUUUGAACCGCAUGGUUCAAAAGUGAAAGACGGUCUUGCUGUCACUUAUAGAUGGAUCCGCGCUGCAUUAGCUAGUUGGUAAGGUAACGGCUUACCAAGGCAACGAUGCAUAGCCGACCUGAGAGGGUGAUCGGCCACACUGGAACUGAGACACGGUCCAGACUCCUACGGGAGGCAGCAGUAGGGAAUCUUCCGCAAUGGGCGAAAGCCUGACGGAGCAACGCCGCGUGAGUGAUGAAGGUCUUCGGAUCGUAAAACUCUGUUAUUAGGGAAGAACAUAUGUGUAAGUAACUGUGCACAUCUUGACGGUACCUAAUCAGAAAGCCACGGCUAACUACGUGCCAGCAGCCGCGGUAAUACGUAGGUGGCAAGCGUUAUCCGGAAUUAUUGGGCGUAAAGCGCGCGUAGGCGGUUUUUUAAGUCUGAUGUGAAAGCCCACGGCUCAACCGUGGAGGGUCAUUGGAAACUGGAAAACUUGAGUGCAGAAGAGGAAAGUGGAAUUCCAUGUGUAGCGGUGAAAUGCGCAGAGAUAUGGAGGAACACCAGUGGCGAAGGCGACUUUCUGGUCUGUAACUGACGCUGAUGUGCGAAAGCGUGGGGAUCAAACAGGAUUAGAUACCCUGGUAGUCCACGCCGUAAACGAUGAGUGCUAAGUGUUAGGGGGUUUCCGCCCCUUAGUGCUGCAGCUAACGCAUUAAGCACUCCGCCUGGGGAGUACGACCGCAAGGUUGAAACUCAAAGGAAUUGACGGGGACCCGCACAAGCGGUGGAGCAUGUGGUUUAAUUCGAAGCAACGCGAAGAACCUUACCAAAUCUUGACAUCCUUUGACAACUCUAGAGAUAGAGCCUUCCCCUUCGGGGGACAAAGUGACAGGUGGUGCAUGGUUGUCGUCAGCUCGUGUCGUGAGAUGUUGGGUUAAGUCCCGCAACGAGCGCAACCCUUAAGCUUAGUUGCCAUCAUUAAGUUGGGCACUCUAAGUUGACUGCCGGUGACAAACCGGAGGAAGGUGGGGAUGACGUCAAAUCAUCAUGCCCCUUAUGAUUUGGGCUACACACGUGCUACAAUGGACAAUACAAAGGGCAGCGAAACCGCGAGGUCAAGCAAAUCCCAUAAAGUUGUUCUCAGUUCGGAUUGUAGUCUGCAACUCGACUACAUGAAGCUGGAAUCGCUAGUAAUCGUAGAUCAGCAUGCUACGGUGAAUACGUUCCCGGGUCU
rnacentral:rRNA from 1 species